ACAGAAUUGAUACAGACGCUCCACAGACCACUGAACAGGGGUGUUUUCUUUACGUUAAAUCCUGGUCGUUUUGCUGCAUAUACUCGUAUGUUAACUUCACCAACUAUGCAUCAGUCCUCAAGAUAGACAGCACGCCAAUGAUUACCUGACUCAGACUUGGGCUCGAUAGACCUCCUCGCCUAAUACUGGCUGUUUGUUUGAUCUCGUGACGUAGAGUUGCUAGGUUACCGAUAACGACUAUUGUUUAAACUGUUUUGUGAUCAGUAUACGUAUAUUGAAAUGCCUGAAGAGGACAUGUCGAAUUGUAUAGAUGGACCCAUCAGAGUCUGUGACCCUAACUCAGGAAGAGAAAAAAGAAGGCCAUAAUUAUAGAGAUAGAAGGAUUCAAGGUAUGUGAUUAUUACUGGAUUAAGGAGUUAGCAAUAAGGGACUGCUACUCUGGAUGGACUGAUGCCUACUGUUUCCAUCUGCUGUUCCCAAAAGACCAUUUGAGUUAUGCCAACCAAAGACAUGUGAACUGGUGUUCUACCUAUCUACAUGGCAUUCGUUGUACCAAUGGGGAACACACAUCAGUGGAUUUGUUUGAGAUCAGGAGGAACUUUAUGGGUGGUAUGGUAGAUUGUACACCAAAGGAAAAGAAAAGGUGAGGAUAAUCAGUUGACAAUUCGGAAUCCCGUGUAUAAACGGAUAAUCUGAACUAGAUUGUACUGAAACACCAUAUUGUGCCUACCACUGAUAUCCACAUGAACAUUGUGCAUAUUGGAAGGUGUGUGCCUUGUAUGAGUGGGUCACUGGUAGUGAUUGGAACAACUUAAGAUACCUUCAGCAUGAUUUUUAGAUAUAGUUUUAAUACUAAAGUACUUAAAUCUUAUAUUAUCCUUGUAUAAUUUUAUGUGUAUUCGAUAUAUUUCAUGUAAACGGAUAUAACCAGUAGAAGUAGAAUUUAAAUAUAUUAUCAUUGUAAACAUUAAUCGAAGUAGGGAGAGAGUUAGAAGUACAAUAGUUGGAUAGUGGGAAUUUUCUUACGAGAAAUAAGAAAAUUCUUAAGGAGGGAGGGGUGCUAGUGUACUAGCACAAGUAAGAAGGCAUCCAGCUAACUCACCAUAACAGUAACCAAUUACUUGAGAGUUUUGGUUAUGGUUUUGGAUUAGCCAGGGAAGUAGUACAGAUUGCUCAAUAAGGUGUGAGAACUACUUGUGGGUAGUGCUGCAUACUAUUUGGUAGUUCAUAGGAACACGAAGAAAAGUUGUUUAAAAACUCAUGUUAGAGGCAGAAAGUCAUGUUUUUUCUGAGCAAUCAAGUAUCCAGAGUCUCCUUACGCAUCCUCACCAAAUUCUCAAAGAAAAAGUUGAAGGUUUCCAAUCUGCAGAAGUACACUUCGUCAACUAUGUUGUAAGUAGAAUUUUUGAUUCUCAAGCUUCAGUUAAUGUAGUGUAACAGUAAAGGGUAUUCAUGUUUAUGUACUCUAUAUAUAUUAAUCAUUAACACUGAUUAAAAGUAUCAGUAAAAGUUAUAACAAUUAGUAAACUGUUGACUAAUAUUGUGUAUUAUGAGGUAAGAUUUAAUAAAUGUUUUUAUAUUUUGUUCAAUAUUAUUCUUGGAAUCUGUUCAUUUAUUCUAACUGUAAGUUACCUCAAGUUAGUGACUUGUGAGCUCCACUCGCCAUUGCAAAUCCUCAAGUAAAUAAAUUCAGUGUAGUUGGCAGUAUAAUUGAAACUCCAACAAUUUGCCCUAAGAGUGCUGCCUGUUACAAUAGCCCAGUUUACAAACUUAUAAUUACUUGAUGCAUUAGAUCCUGCAAAUAUGAGUGAUGGAAAGCCCAAUCCUAUUAUUCCACUGGCAAUAAAAUGUCCUAACAUCAUUCAAGAAAAUUCUUAUAAAGAACUCAAUAAGGAAUGGAGAGAGUUAACCUUAUUUGAAAUGCCAGUUUUGGGUGAGAAUCUGUUGGAACCAGAAAAAUUCUGGUAUGCUAAGAUUUCCUAAUGUAUCGAGACUGAUGCUGAAUUUAAUGUCUUUGUCCCAUUCUUCUGCUGCUACUGAAAUAAUAUUUUCACUAGUAAGUAAUAUUGAAACAAAUAAAUAGACACUCGGCUUAACGCAGGGACAUUCAUUGCAUUACUACACAGCAAGAAGUUACUUCAAGAUGCUAAUUGCAAUUCAUGGCACCCCCACUCAGGAAACUAGUUGAAAAAAUGAUUAAACAAUCAGAGGGAGUGGAAGAUAUGCAGUUUUGAUGAUAUUAGGUAAGUUUAAUGCUAUUUGUCCCCAACAUCGAGGUUGUUUCCAGCCUCAAGGUCCAGUUCUUUUAGCUAAGUUCCCGAGAUAUACAGACAGAAAUCGCCAGUUUAUCUAUACAUUCAAGACUUGCACUACAGUAACUCCAUGUAAGUUUUGAUUGCAACUCUCCUUUCACUAAUAAUAUUGCAGGGUGGAAAUAUGAUGUGUAAUGCAAAAGUAACUAAAGUUAAAUAAGUAAUGUUGAUAGGGUUAGAAACAUUAUGGAUCUAAUAUAAGUUACUGAAUGUAUGAACUUUUAUUUAAUCGAUGUUACUGUUUUUUAUUCAUUAUAAGCCUUCAUAUCUUUUGGUGUAGAAUUGGACUCAGUAUCAUUUAUUCCUUGCAUUACUUGUAAAUUUCCUUGAGUUAGUUGACUUGUGUACCCACAAAUCUAUUGUAAUUGGUGUCUUGUUGCCCUAAACAACGCUCUCUCUCGUUCCCACGAUAGAGCAGCCUGAUACAAAACAUAAAGCUAUUUAAUUUGUCAAAAGAUCAAUUCAUGACGUAACAGGUUUAGUUUCAUGUCUAUUGAUCAGAGCUUUUUAAGUUUCUUGGAAAAACCUGGAUCCUUUGAACCUUUGGUCACUGCUCCCCAGUCGCUCAGUGCCAAGUCUCGAGGCUUAUAUAACGCUAAAAACAGGGUUUCUAUAUUAUGUGAAAGGCAUAGUACAGAGAGGUUUGUGGUUAACAACAAACUUUCAUCACUGGAACAAGGACCAAAAUCCAAGCUCUAGUCAUAAAUCCUCAAUGUCACCGCUAAACCACGCGGCAUGUCAGAAAGUAUUUGAUUAAGUAUACACAGAACAAUAUAAAACGAGUGAAACAAUUCAUUUACCACUUUAGAAUAUCUGAAUGAUUUUAAAGGUUACAACAAUAAUAUAUAUUUUUGUUGCCCUCUUCUCCCCCUCCAUUCGGCAAAGUGAAGUCAAAUAAACACGGUUGAGUCUCAGAACUCAGGUGCAUGCAUGCGUAAAGUAAUAGCUUUGUUUGUGAAACUAUCUUUGCAAUAUCUAAUAGUAUAAAAUACAGUGUGUAUCUGUCAGUCUCUCGGUCACAUGAUGUUAUAGCAACUUAAUACGUAAUGUAACUAGUUUGGCUUCUUGUCAAUUAGGAGUAGUCUACUAUUGAUUGAAAAUUAAAGAUAUAUUUGAUCUAAAAAAUUCACCUUUUUCGCAAUUUGAAAACCUAUCUUUGUUAAAUCGUCGAGUUACGCCAAAAGGGACGUAAAUAUACUUUAUUAGACAUUUUAUACAGCAUAUUCAAAGCUUAUCAGAGUUUUUUAACAAAAAGGUCUAACGUUAGGUCGUAGGAUAAUAUUAGAAGAUUAUUUAUUGAUAGUAUUAAGUGUGGAAAGGUUUAGCCCUAACUGAACUAAACCAAACAAACGUACACGUUACAG